ACAAAAUUCAAAUCGUGGACCUCGCCCAAGUUCGAAUCGUUCCUGAAUUGGUUGGAAGCAACCACGUUCGUGUACGUUAAAUUUUCCUCAAUUCACGCGUUGGAGUACUUCGGUGUUUGUGGUCCAAACAAACGUUGGGUGGGACGUUUCGUUGGUUUGCUGGUCGCUGGAAUGGUGUCCCUGGUGAUCCCGACGUUAAUUUCAGUGCUCCACGAAGAUUCGAGCUCGAGGAUGCUGAUGAAAAUUGGCUACUUGUUGUUUCUGAUUGGUUCAACCAUCGAUUUCUGUGUCAUUUCGUGGAAAAAUGAUGAGUUUGUUGAGCUUUUGAGAAAUCUUGAAGACAUCCACAAAACAGUUAGUGAAUCAGAACAUUCCGAUGACAACCUUAGGAUCAUGGAAAUGCAUUCAUCACGGGUCGCAAAACUCAAUCGAUUUUAUCUCUGUUUUGGAAUUGUUGCUUACGCAUUCUUCAUACUCGUUCCAAUCGUUUACACUGUUGUCAGUUUCAUAUUUUGGCCAGAGUAUCCAGUGGUAGCUACUGCCACUCAACUUGGACCAAAUGACUUCUACUUCGACUACACCUCAAACAUUUUCCGCGCCAUUGUGUUCCACCUGUUGCAAUUUCCCGGAAUUUCCUUUAUGGACAU